rnacentral:rRNA from 1 species
GACGAACGCUGGCGGCGUGCCUAAUACAUGCAAGUAGAACGCACAGUUUAUACCGUAGCUUGCUACACCAUAGACUGUGAGUUGCGAACGGGUGAGUAACGCGUAGGUAACCUGCCUGGUAGCGGGGGAUAACUAUUGGAAACGAUAGCUAAUACCGCAUAAUAUUAAUUAUUGCAUGAUAAUUGAUUGAAAGAUGCAACUGCAUCACUACCAGAUGGACCUGCGUUGUAUUAGCUAGUAGGUGGGGUAACGGCUCACCUAGGCGACGAUACAUAGCCGACCUGAGAGGGUGAGCGGCAAAGCUGGUACUGGGACACGGCCCAGCAUCCUACGGGAGGCAGCAGUAGGGAAUCUUCGGCAAUGGCCGAAAGUCUGAACGAGCAACGCCGCGUGAGUGAAGAAGGUUUUCGGAUCGUAAAGCUCUGUUGUAAGAGAAGAACGGGUGUGAGAGUGGAAAGUUCACACUGUGACGGUAUCUUACCAGAAAGGUACGGCUAACUACGUG